rnacentral:rRNA from 1 species
UACGUAGGGGGCAAGCGUUGUCCGGAAUUACUGGGCGUAAAGCGCGCGUAGGUGGUUUGUUAAGUUGGAAGUGAAAGCCCCGGGCUCAACCUGGGAACUGCUUUCAAAACUGGCAGGCUAGAGUAUGGCAGAGGGUGGUGGAAUUUCCUGUGUAGCGGUGAAAUGCGUAGAUAUAGGAAGGAACACCAGUGGCGAAGGCGACCACCUGGGCUAAUACUGACACUGAGGUGCGAAAGCGUGGGGAGCAAACAGG